rnacentral:rRNA from 1 species
GACGAACGCUGGCGGCGUGCUUAACACAUGCAAGUCGAACGAUGAAGCCGGAGCUUGCUCUGGUGAAUUAGUGGCGAACGGGUGAGUAACACGUGAGUAACCUGCCCUUGACUCUGGGAUAACUGCUAGAAAUGGUAGCUAAUACCGGAUACGACCCUCGGAGGCAUCUCCAGGGGGUGGAAAGAAUUUCGGUCAAGGAUGGACUCGCGGCCUAUCAGCUAGUUGGUGAGGUAACGGCUCACCAAGGCGACGACGGGUAGGCGGCCUGAGAGGGUGACCGGCAACACUGGGACUGAGACACGGCCCAGACUCCUACGGGAGGCAGCAGUGGGGAAUAUUGCACAAUGGGCGCAAGCCUGAUGCAGCAACGCCGCGUGAGGGAUGACGGCCUUCGGGUUGUAAACCUCUUUUAGUAGGGAAGAAGCGAAAGUGACGGUACCUGCAGAAAAAGCACCGGCUAACUACGUGCCAGCCGCCGCGGUAA